ACAUGCCUACAAUAUAGUGUUAAUGCAUCGGAUCCCAUUAGAACUCCGCAGUUAAGCGCGCUCAGGCUAGAGUAGUACUGGGAUGGGUGACCGCCUGGGAAGUCCUAGUGUUUUACAUGCC
rnacentral:rRNA from 1 species